AACGAACGCUGGCGGCAUGCCUAACACAUGCAAGUCGAACGAGAUCUUCGGGUCUAGUGGCGCACGGGUGCGUAACGCGUGGGAAUCUGCCCUUUGGUUCGGAAUAACAGUUGGAAACGACUGCUAAUACCGGAUGAUGACGAAAGUCCAAAGAUUUAUCGCCAGAGGAUGAGCCCGCGUAGGAUUAGCUAGUUGGUGUGGUAAAGGCGCACCAAGGCGACGAUCCUUAGCUGGUCUGAGAGGAUGAUCAGCCACACUGGGACUGAGACACGGCCCAUACUCCUACGGGAGGAAGCAGUGGGGAAUAUUGGACAAUGGGCGAAAGCCUGAUCCAGCAAUGCCGCGUGAGUGAUGAAGGCCUUAGGGUUGUAAAGCUCUUUUACCCGGGAUGAAAAUGACAGUACCGGGAGAAUAAGCUCCGGCUAACUCCGUGCCAGCAGCCGCCGCCG
rnacentral:rRNA from 1 species